rnacentral:rRNA from 1 species
AUACAGAGGGUGCGAGCGUUAAUCGGAGUUACUGGGCGUAAAGGGCGCGUAGGCGGAUGAUUAAGUCAGUUGUGAAAUCCCAGGGCUUAACCUUGGAACUGCAAUUGAUACUGAUUGACUAGAGUCGAAGAGAGGGAAGCGGAAUUUCCGGUGUAGCGGUGAAAUGCGUAGAUAUCGGAAGGAACACCCGUGGCGAAGGCGGCUUCCUGGCUUCAGACUGACGCUGAGGUGCGAAAGCGUGGGGAGCGAACAGGAUUAGAAACCCCAGUAGUCC